rnacentral:rRNA from 1 species
UACGUAGGGACCAAGCGUUGUUCGGAUUUACUGGGCGUAAAGGGCGCGUAGGCGGCGUGUUAAGUCACUUUGUGAAAUCUCUAAGCUUAACUUAGAACGGUCAAGUGAUACUGAUGUGCUAGAGUGCAGAAGGGGCAACCGGAAUUCUUGGUGUAGCGGUGAAAUGCGUAGAUAUCAAGAGGAACACCUGAGGUGAAGACGGGUUGCUGGGCUGACACUGACGCUGAGGCGCGAAAGCUAGGGUAGCAAACGGG